CAUUGGAAGGAUGGAUAUUCUACUUUCUUUCUUUAUUUUUUAUUAUAUCUCUAGCCGAUACUCAUCUUUCGUCCGAUUUUUGUGAUUUCUCCAAAAAAAGAG
rnacentral:ribozyme from 12 species